ensembl:snoRNA
GGUCUGAAAUAAACAGUCAUAAACAUGGGCACUGGGCCCAGGCUGGGGGCUGGCAGAACUUCACCUCCUUCUGGCC